rnacentral:rRNA from 1 species
AGAACGCAGCGAAAUGCGAUACGUAGUGUGAAUUGCAGAAUUCCGCGAAUCAUCGAGUUUUUGAACGCAAGUUGCGCCCGAGGCUUGUCCGAGGGCAUUUCCGCUAGAGCGUCACC